AAACCCCCUCGCCGAAAGACUAAGGUUUCCUGAUCAACGCUAAUCGGAUCAGGGUAAGUCGGGACCUAAGGUUCAGCCGAACGGCGAGACCGAUGGCAGAAACGGUAAAAAUUCCGUUACUACCUCCAAUGGUGACGUGGAGACGCAGCAGUGACACCACCGCCGGCUGACGGAAUAGCCGGUUAAAGAGUGUAGGCGUUGAUUCCCGCAGGCAAAUCCACGGGAAGAGUCGAACUUGAGAGUACACCAACUCCUUCGGGAAGCGGUGAUAGUGUGGGUAAUCAGACUGCCGAGAAAAUCCGCUAAACU
rnacentral:rRNA from 1 species